GACAGAGGCCUCGAGCGUUAGGCGGAAUCACUGGGCUUAAAGCGUGUGUAGGCGGAUCGUUAAGUGUCUUGUGAAAUCCCACGGCUCAACCGUGGAACGGCUGGGCAUACUGGCGAUCUUGAGCAGCCUAGGGGCGACCGGAACAAACGGUGGAGCGGUGAAAUGCGUAGAUACCACCAAGAACCCCGAUUGCGUAGGCAGCUCGCUGAGCCGAAACUGACGCUGAGGCACGAAAGCGUGGGGAGCGAACAGG
rnacentral:rRNA from 1 species